AGAGAGACUGUUGUGUUAGCAGCAGCAAUUAUAAUGACUUCUCUGUUAAUAAUAGUACAUGUAUAGUAAUGUCAUUAUUUACCUUCUGUAUUUAUCUUUUAUAGAUCUCCUGGCGUAAAAGCAUGGCUUUGGAACAUAUUCAAUUGAAUAGUCUUGUUAAUGUUAGUAGUUCCUUAGGACACCAGAAUUGAAAUCAGUGGAAAUUUUGGAGGUGUGAAGAACUACUCAGAAGAAGCAAGGAUUAUGCAGGUUACACCUCUACUUCUCUGAGUUUCUCUAUUUCCUGGUAGUACAUCUGUAUCAUUAUUUUCAUUAAAAUCUUCCUGAUUCUAAAAAUGUGUAGU
rnacentral:lncRNA from 1 species